GACGAACGCUGGCGGCGUGCUUAACACAUGCAAGUCGAACGGAAAGGCCCUGCUUUUGUGGGGUGCUCGAGUGGCGAACGGGUGAGUAACACGUGAGUAACCUGCCCUCGACUUUGGGAUAACUUCAGGAAACUGGGGCUAAUACCGGAUAGGAGCUCCUGCUGCAUGGUGGGGGUUGGAAAGUUUCGGCGGUUGGGGAUGGACUCGCGGCUUAUCAGCUUGUUGGUGGGGCAGUGGCUUACCAAGGCUUUGACGGGUAGCCGGCCUGAGAGGGUGACCGGCCACAUUGGGACUGAGAUACGGCCCAGACUCCUACGGGAGGCAGCAGUGGGGAAUAUUGCACAAUGGGCGGAAGCCUGAUGCAGCAACGCCGCGUGCGGGAUGACGGCCUUCGGGUUGUAAACCGCUUUCGCCUGUGACGAAGCGUGAGUGACGGUAAUGGGUAAAGAAGCACCGGCUAACUACGUG
rnacentral:rRNA from 1 species